rnacentral:rRNA from 1 species
AGUGGCGAACGGGUGAGUAACACGUGAGAAACCUGCCCCGGAGACCGGGACAACCAUUGGAAACGAUGGCUAAUACCGGAUGCCCUCAGCUGGCCGCAUGGCCUACUGAGGAAAUGCUCUGGCGCUCUGGGAGGGUCUCGCGGCCUAUCAGCUAGUUGGUGGGGUAACGGCCUACCAAGGCAUCGACGGGUAGCUGGUCUGAGAGGACGAUCAGCCACACUGGGACUGAGACACGGCCCAGACUUCUACGGAAGGCAGCAGUGGGGAAUAUUGCGCAAUGGGCGAAAGCCUGACGCAGCAACGCCGCGUGAGGGAUGACAGCUUUCGGGUUGUAAACCUCUUUCAGUGAUGACGAAAAUGACGGUAAUCACAGAAGAAGGUCCGGCCAACUACGUGCCAGCAGCCGCGGUAACACGUAGGGACCGAGCGUUGUCCGGAUUUAUUGGGCGUAAAG